GGCCGCGUGGCCUAAUGGCUAAGGCGCUAGAUUUCGGUUCUAGAUCUCCCGAACUCUCUAGAGAUUCCAGGUAGGUUCUCAUUCAAACGAGCUUCUCCGCAUCCAGGCACUAACAUCUCCAAAAGGUUCGACUCCUGGCGUGGUCG
rfam:Fusarium oxysporum f. sp. cubense race 1 unplaced genomic scaffold scaffold243, whole genome shotgun sequence.